rnacentral:rRNA from 1 species
AGAGUUUGAUCAUGGCUCAGGACGAACGCUGGCGGCGUGCCUAAAACAUGCAAGUCGAACGGGGUAGCAAUACCUAGUGGCGAACGGCGGAGUAAUACGUGAACAACGUGCCUUGAAGACUGGGAUAGCCAGGGGAAACCCUGAGUAAUACCGGAUGUGGCAACUUGGAGACAUCUUCGAGUUACUAAAUGGUUUUUCGCUUUAAGAGCGGUUCACGACCUAUCAGCUAGUUGGUGAGGUAACGGCCCACCAAGGCGACGACGGGUAGGGGGUCUGAGAGGAUGAUCCCCCCGAGUGGGACUGAGACACGGCCCACACACCUACGGGUGGCAGCAGUUGGGAAUCUUGCACAAUGGGGGAAACCCUGAUGCAGCGACGCCGCGUGGAGGACGAAGGGUCUAGGCUCGUAAACUCCUUUUUUCGGGAAAGACUUAGACGGUACCCGAAGAAUAAGCACCGGCUAACUACGUGCCAGCAGCCGCGGUA